rnacentral:rRNA from 1 species
UUGAACGCUGGCGGCAGGCCUAACACAUGCAAGUCGGGCGGUAGCACAGAGAGCUUGCUCUCGGGUGACGAGCGGCGGACGGGUGAGUAAUGUCUGGGAAACUGCCUGAUGGAGGGGGAUAACUACUGGAAACGGUAGCUAAUACCGCAUAAUGUCGCAAGACCAAAGUGGGGGACCUUCGGGCCUCAUGCCAUCAGAUGUGCCCAGAUGGGAUUAGCUAGUAGGUGGGGUAACGGCUCACCUAGGCGACGAUCCCUAGCUGGUCUGAGAGGAUGACCAGCCACACUGGAACUGAGACACGGUCCAGACUCCUACGGGAGGCAGCAGUGGGGAAUAUUGCACAAUGGGCGCAAGCCUGAUGCAGCCAUGCCGCGUGUGUGAAGAAGGCCUUCGGGUUGUAAAGCACUUUCAGCGGGGAGGAAGGCGGUGAGGUUAAUAACCUCAUCGAUUGACGUUACCCGCAGAAGAAGCACCGGCUAACUCCGUGCCAGCAGCCGCGGUAAUACGGAGGGUGCAAGCGUUAAUCGGAAUUACUGGGCGUAAAGCGCACGCAGGCGGUCUGUCAAGUCGGAUGUGAAAUCCCCGGGCUCAACCUGGGAACUGCAUUCGAAACUGGCAGGCUAGAGUCUUGUAGAGGGGGGUAGAAUUCCAGGUGUAGCGGUGAAAUGCGUAGAGAUCUGGAGGAAUACCGGUGGCGAAGGCGGCCCCCUGGACAAAGACUGACGCUCAGGUGCGAAAGCGUGGGGAGCAAACAGGAUUAGAUACCCUGGUAGUCCACGCCGUAAACGAUGUCGAUUUGGAGGUUGUGCCCUUGAGGCGUGGCUUCCGGAGCUAACGCGUUAAAUCGACCGCCUGGGGAGUACGGCCGCAAGGUUAAAACUCAAAUGAAUUGACGGGGGCCCGCACAAGCGGUGGAGCAUGUGGUUUAAUUCGAUGCAACGCGAAGAACCUUACCUGGUCUUGACAUCCACAGAACUUUCCAGAGAUGGAUUGGUGCCUUCGGGAACUGUGAGACAGGUGCUGCAUGGCUGUCGUCAGCUCGUGUUGUGAAAUGUUGGGUUAAGUCCCGCAACGAGCGCAACCCUUAUCCUUUGUUGCCAGCGGUUAGGCCGGGAACUCAAAGGAGACUGCCAGUGAUAAACUGGAGGAAGGUGGGGAUGACGUCAAGUCAUCAUGGCCCUUACGACCAGGGCUACACACGUGCUACAAUGGCAUAUACAAAGAGAAGCGACCUCGCGAGAGCAAGCGGACCUCAUAAAGUAUGUCGUAGUCCGGAUUGGAGUCUGCAACUCGACUCCAUGAAGUCGGAAUCGCUAGUAAUCGUAGAUCAGAAUGCUACGGUGAAUACGUUCCCGGGCCUUGUACACACCGCCCGUCACACCAUGGGAGUGGGUUGCAAAAGAAGUAGGUAGCUUAACCUUCGGGAGGGCGCUUACCACUUUGUGAUUCAUGACUGGGGUG